UUGGUACCCAGUGUCAGUUUACCCAUUUAUCUAGUCCAGUCGACUGAUAUAGGUUACUUGGGCAACUAAAAUAAGUCUUAAUAAAUUAUUACUAAUUAGUGAACAUAAAAAGUACUAAAUUAAUAAUAUUAUUAAUAAUUACCAAAAAUUUCAGUUUGCAUAGUAUAUCAACAUAAUGUCUGCAUAUUUAUUUAUUUGGUUUACUUUUACAUUAUAUUGGCACCACUAAGCUGUAUUGCUUAGCGUGUCACUGUUUGUCACGCGUAGGUACUGGAAGCACUGAUCGAGAGCCCAACAGACCUCAGACUAGGUGAGACUACUAAUCUGCAUGGAGUUCAGAGUCACCUCCACUACAGUGCAUCAUUGGUAGGACACUAGGAUUUUGUUUUGUAUUUUUGAAUUUUGUAUCUUUGUAAUUAGACCCUCAUUUUGCUAUGUAAAUUAUGAACAUUUGUAUUAUUGGUAGAUUUAUAAAUUAAUGAACUCCAGUAUUUCCUUCAUAAAUUUGAGUUUGAAUUUAAUUAUAUAUGUUUUGAACAGAAUGAAUGAAAUUGAGAUUGAGAUUAGCGAGAAAUGGCGAACUUGUGUUGAUGAUAAAUGGAGUUGAUGAUAUCAAUGAUUUAUUGGGAGUGUUUUUAACAGGUUCAGAAGAACUGUUUUUCCAAUUUAUAACAGGCACUCUGCCGGAUUUUCUAUAAAAUUUUCGGAACCUCAAAUAAAUAAUACUUUUGAUAAAUGGCUAAAAUAAAUUAUAUUUCAUAAAUUAUAUUCACAAGCAUGAUAUAAAUUAAUUAAGGUAUAUUAGAAUGUGCCGGUACACCGUGUGGCAUUACUUACUCGGGUAUACUGUACACGGGUAAGGGGUGUCACACAUCUACUCUCAGCUGCCACUGCCUUGUUCAUGUUCAUGUUCCAUUGUACGUGUCCGUGUUCACCUGGACCAUCUCCUCUCCCUCCCUUCUCUCCCUCCAAGCUCCAGCCUUAACCGUAAUAUCCACUGCCAAUGUCACCACCCACAACCCCCUUCAAAUCUCCACUGCCCAAAUGCUCACUUUCUCCAACUUUUUCCCCAAAAUUGUCCUCAAACUACGCCCAACUACCUUUCCCUCCAAACCCCAACGACCCGCCCUUUCCUUCAAAACUCUCUGUUCUCACUCCUCCAUCCCACCUGACCCCUCUAAAACCGUAACCCUAAUCUCCCUUCUCCGCGCAAUCCCAGACUGGGCUGAUCGCGUAAAAGAGCGAGGAAUGCAGCGGAAGCGCUCUCUUUACACCCACAAGAAAUGGGUCGAACACAGAAGUUCCCUUCGCCACAUCCGCCACUUACUCUCCAGUCUUCAAUCGCGGGUCAUAUUAUCAUUAAUUCCUCCAGUGAUUGCCUUCACUUCAGUGGCUGCCAUCAUAGCUGUCUAUAAUUCUGUGGUGGAGAUGCAUUUAUUGCCGGGGCUUUUCCCUGUUUUGAGGGCUUCUUCUCUGCCCUAUCAGUUGACAGCUCCGGCAUUGGCGCUGUUGCUGGUGUUUAGGACGGAGGCUUCUUAUUCGAGAUUUGAAGAGGGGAGGAAAGCCUGGACAAAGGUGAUUUCGGGUACAAAUGAUUUUGCCCGGCAUGUGAUGGCUACGGUUGACAAUUCUAAGGAUGCUGCCCUUAAAAAUGCUCUUUUGCAUUAUAUUAUGGCCUUCCAGUUGCACUUAAGGUCAGCUUCUUUUUGCCAGAGUACAGGGCUAAUUCCUCGGUAGCUUGACUGGUAAUAAUAGAUGUUCUGCUGAACAAACAGGAGCAAUUUAAUAUUGAGGGGGAUCCAUAAUUAUAUCGUUUACAUUAUGAAUCGUUUAAGAUGCUUACAAAGAAAUGAAUUUGAAUGAUGGUCCUGUAAUUACAUAGAUGCAUCAUACUUUGAAUCUGUAUUGGUUUAACAUGGAGAUGAAAACUUGUUUGAUAGGCCUCUGUGUUUGAGAAAUAAUGAGUCAGAUUCGCUGAAAAAAUGUUGGCUCUUGUGACAGUUUCUAAAUUCUAAUUUAAUGAAGUUGGCUGAAAAGUUUUUAUUUGCAGUGCCAUGUGAUUUAUGGUUCAGAUAUUGUCCGAGACCUCAGGAAUUUGGUUGAAGUAGAUGAUCUAGCAGUGGUACUCAAUUCUAGGCAUCGGCCUCGCUGCAUUAUUGAAUUCAUUUCCCAAUGCCUUCAAUUGCUCAACUUAGAGGAAUCACAGAAAAAUCAGCUGGAGUCAAAGAUCUCAUGUUUGCAGGAAGGAUUUUGUGUCUGUUAACAACUCAUGGGAAUUCCCAUUCCACUCUCAUACACCCGCUCGACAUCAAGAUUUCUGGUCCUUUGGCAUCUCACUCUUCCUAUAAUACUUUGGGAUGAUUGCCACUGGAUUGUGGUCCCCGCAACCUUCAUCAGUGCUGCUUCCUUAUUCUGCAUAGAAGAGGUUGGUGUUCUGAUCGAGGAACCAUUUUCAAUGUUAGCCCUUGAUGAGCUUUGCAGUCAAGUUCACAGUAACAUUCAGGAAGCAAUUGUAACUGAGAAAGUCAUCAAAACACAACUUAUUGCAAAAAGAAAGAACUACGCUUGUGAGCACUCAACAAAUGGUCGGCCCAACUCAUAGGACUCUUUAAGCUUUAAAUGCCUGAUCCCAGAACUAAAUGCCAGUUAACUACUGAGAUUUGGUGGAGAUUGCAGUUCUCAUCCUCUCUUAUAAAAGCCUCACAAAGUAGCUGAGGUGAAGCAUUCAAAUAUAUACAGAAAGCAUUCUCCUUGGAGAAAUCUUCUAUCCAAUGUAUGUUCUGUAUAUAGAGCAAUAUCACUGUGGAUGUGCUAGUCGUAUAUAGAAGGAAUCGUCAACGGCAUUUGCAUGCAGUGAGGACAGUUGUGGCACUGCAAUGGAUUAUAUUAUACUGUCCGUCUCCCAGUCCUAGGGGAUGAUAGUCUUGGAGGAAUAUGGCUACAAAUCCAUAUUGAGGUAUAAAUCAUACUGCAGUGCGUGUUUCCAAAUUCCUCCACAUAUCUUGUGAAUAUUAAAUAAUAAUGUGUCAUGUAACAUAAACUGAAAAAAUGUUUCUUUUCUCGGUCUUACAGAAAUGAUCCUCUAUAUAUUAUACCAUUUAUUAACAUAUGGUUAUAUUUGUGGAACCUCUAAUGUAACUUCUUCAUAGUUGGGCCAAUAUGGGCUUAGCUUAUAUUAGUCUUAGGGUUUAUUGGAAUUAUUGUUGAGAUUUGAUUUAAAGUUAAAUUAACUUGUUACUGUUGUACUGUUUUUUUAAAAUUAUUUAAAAUUAUGAUUUUCUAGAAAUAUGUUGGUAUCAUAAGCUUGAUGAAAUGAAAAAAAU
rnacentral:misc_RNA from 1 species